UCUGUCCAUAGGACCACUUCAAGCUGUACACUCCACAGAGCACCAUUAAAUCCAUUAUUAAAAACUUGAAAGAAUAUGGCACCACAACAAACCUGCCAAGAGAGGGCCGCCCACCAAAACUCAUGGACCAGGCAAGGAGGGCAUUAAUCAGAGAAGCAACCAAGAGACCAAAGAUAACCCUGAAGGAGCUGCAAAGCUCCACAGCGGUGAUUGGAGUAUCUGUCCAUAGGACCACUUCAAGCUGUACACUCCACAGAGCUGGGCUUUACAGAAGAGUGGCCCAAAAAAAAGCAAACAUGUUUGGUGUUCUCCAAAAGGCAUGUGGGAGCUGAGACUAAAAUGGAGCUUUUUGGCAAUCAAGGAAAACGCUAUGUCUGGUGCAAACCCAACACCUCUCCUCACCCCAACACCAUCCAUAUUUUUCAUCGCCCGGGACUGGGAAACGGGUCAGAUUUGAAGGAAUGAUGCAUGGAGCUAAAUACAGGGAAAUUCUUGAGGGAAACCUCAAAUCUUCCAGAGAUUUGAGACUUGGACGGAGGUUCACCUUCCAGCAGGACAAUGACCCUAAGCAUACUGCUAAAGCAACACUCGAGUGGUUUAAGGGGAAAAUUUAAAUGUCUUGGAAUGGCCUAGUUAAAGCCCAGACCACAAUCCAAUUGAGAAUCUGUGGUAUGAGCGGAACCCAUCCAACUUGAAGGAGCUGGAGCAGUUUUGCCUUGAAGAAUGAGCAAAAAUCUCAGUGGCGAGAUGUACCAAGCUUAUAGAGACAUACCCCAAGAGACGUGCAGCUGUAAUUGCUGCAAAAGGUGGCUCUACAAAGUAUUGACUUUGUGGGGGGUGAAUAGGGGUCAACCUGUUUUUUUGUCUUAUUUCUUGUUUGUUUCACGAUAAAAAAUAUUUUGCAUCUUCAAAGUUGUGUAAAUCAAAUGAUACGACCCCCCCCCCCAAAAUCCAUUUUAAUUCCAGGUUGUAAGGCAACAAAAUAGGAAAAAUGCCAACGGGGGUGAAUACUUAAGCAAGCCACUGUAUUGGAGAGUUGGGCUGAAGACACUGUAGAGAGUAGUUGACUGUAAUGUGUUAAGGUGAACAUUAAAUAAAUCUGUUCCGUUUAUUAUAAGUACGCUUUGGAGUUUUCAGUAAAAGAUCCCAGCAUCUUAGGAUGCAACAAACCACACCAGGAAUUAUCUUCAGGUAUUCAACCUGAACAUCCAUCGUCACUCCUGAGAUGACUCCUUUGACGAGGGCUCUACUCCGAUGUUCAAAACGUAAAACUUCCGUUGUCCGGAUUCUUUUGAGGCCCACUGCUAUCUUCCUCUGCUUGUCAGAAAUACAAUUAAUCAAAAUAAAACCACUAUUGGUCACUGACAGACUCCACUUUUCCAAGCGCAUACUUCACCAUUUGACACUUCAAACGGUUUCCCACAUAUGCAUCCUUACCACAGAUAACGUUAGACCAAUGAGAAUUAGAACACCUUUGUCCUUACUCAACAACCGCAUCCCAACAAGAAGCGACUCAUUAUCAUUUACACACGUAUCCUCCACUCAAAUUUUCGACAAUAUCCUUUUUGUUCCAGUUUUUGAUUUUACUGUUGUCCAUUCAGAACAUUCGUCUUCACCAGAUUUACUCGACACUGCUUAAUUCUAACUCAAACACUUCCUCUCCUGGGCCUGUUGCACAAAAGUAGAAUUAAGACAUCCGGGAUAAAUGACUCAGCUGAGCUCAAUGAAGCCAAAACAUGUGCGUCCAGGCUUAAUUGGUUGCACAAAGACCAAGCCAGGAUGAGCAGACACGGAUUCAUUAAGCCAGGUGAAACCAAUCCUGGAUAGGUGCGCGCUCACGGCUCACUCAAAUAGACCCCGCCACAGAUCACAGAUUAACUGAUUUACCAUGGCAACUAGAGCCGCGUACUUUUCCCCGUCGGAAGCACAAAUCCUCAUGGAGGCAUACGAGGAGGUAAAAGAUAUAAUUAAGAAGAAAGGCAACACCGCCACAGUGAUAAAGCAAAGAGAAAAAGCGUGGCAAAGUAUUGCAGACCGCCUGAAUGCGUAAGUAGUGCACAAUUACACAGUCACCGCUCCGCUGAAACAUCACAAUUACAAUUCAAAUAUUUAAUUCACAUCUCCAAAAAUGCAGUUGUACUGUAAUUAUGAAACGGUUAAAUUUUUAAUUGAAAUGCACUGCAGAUAUGAGUGAAAUUGUGUAAAGUAACUCCAUCACACUGUAUAAAGCUAUGAUACAUUUUUUGAUAUUUUUACUGAAAACAAGACAAAAAUACCAAGUAAUUUUUUGCAGUGUGACUCCAUUAAAUGUGUGUGUGUGUGUGUGUGUGUGUGUGUGUGUGUAGAUUAAACAUGAACGGGCCAAAACGGACAUGGCAGCAGGUCAAAAUCAAAUACAAGAACAUUCUGCAGAAUGCAGUGAAAAAGAAUACCCACAGACAAGGCACGGGUGGUGGGUCACCAAAGGCUGACCUUACCCCAGCAGAGGACAUGGCCUUGGAGCUAAAUAAAGACAGGCCCGUCUUAGAGGGGAUCCCUGGGGGGAAAGAGACGAGCAUAGGUUCCUCCCAAGAUGACACCCGCUUCAUUCAAGUGUCUGGCAGCACUGUGUUCCUGUUAGAGCCACCAGCACAAGCACCAGACGAUGCUGAUCCAGGUGAAGGCCCCAGUGCAGCAGCAACAGCACAUGAUGGAGACGAUGAUGAGGAGGAGACCAUCUCUCUGGAUUCCAGAAGGCAUGAGGUAUCAUGUUAAGACUGUGAAAGUACUAUUUACUCUACAAUGGUGAGGAGUCCUCAUCAAAAUCAAAAAAUCGAAUUUCUUUUACAGGACCCAGAUGCUAUACAGUGGGAAAACCAGCCUGGCAACAUAGUGCGUAUUAAUAAAAGGACACCACAUCCUGCCAAAUUCCAGCUGCGCUAAUUGUAUUGUGUUCACAGAGCUCACAAGCUAUCAGAAAGUUGUAUGGCAACCACCUCCGGCGCCAAAUAGAACUGGCAGACAUAGACAUUCAGUACAAGAAGAAAAAGAUGGAAAAUCUUGCACUGGAGUCCGAAAUAAAAAAGAGGACAAUUAGGAAACUGGACCUUGAAAUAAAAAAACUUGAGAGGGAGGUGAGAUAUGCCUUCAAUGUACACUGUAUGCUAACUGUAACACAAAUGUAUUAAUCAUUAUUUUUCUUUCCUCCCCCAGCUCCAAGAAGAUGACACAGCUCAAAAUAAAAAUUAGGUAUAUUCUCGUAAAGUCAAGUGAGCCAUGACAUAUGAGCUCUUAUUGUGAGCACACAGGACGGUGGCAUCUUUCUAAGUUUUUUUUAAUUUUCCCAGCAAUCAGUACAACCAAGUCAUCGUUAUAAGGCAUCGCCCUCUUUUGCCCACCCCCCCAGCACCAGGUGUGGCCACUAGCCUAUAUGAAGGCCCAAAAUUGUGUGUUCCUUUCUGCUCUGACUAUGGCAUGCCCAUUCGUGCGAGAUGUGGUGGAUGAAGAAGCACUUGUGCUGAGGAGAGCCUUCAGGCGAGAAAGGGUCUUCAGGGACCGGUUGGACCCACUGGCCUUCCCUGAUGACCAUCUAUAUGAAAGAUACAGGUUUUCUGCAGAUGGCAUCAGGUAUCAAUGCAGACUACUGGGUCCCAGGAUUAAGCACCGCACUGCACGGAGCCAUGCACUGAGUGUGGAGCAAAUGGUUUGUGUGGCCUUGCGCUUUUUUGCUAGUGGAGCCUUCCUGUACUCAGUGGGGGAUGCAGAACAGCUGAACAAGGCCACAAUUUGCCGCACAAUAAGGAGUGUGUGUCUGGCUAUCAAAGCAUUAGCAGAUGUCUUCAUCUCCUUCCCUGGCCACAGAAGACUCUGUGAC